UACGUAGGGUGCGAGCGUUAAUCGGAAUUACUGGGCGUAAAGCGUGCGCAGGCGGUGAGCUGUGUCCGAUGUGAAAGCCCCGGGCUUAACCUGGGAAUGGCAUUGGAAACUGGCUCGCUGGAGUGUGGCAGAGGGGGGUGGAAUUCCGCGUGUAGCAGUGAAAUGCGUAGAGAUGCAGAGGAACACCGAUGGCGAAGGCAGCCCCCUGGGCUAACACUGACGCUCAGGCACGAAAGCGUGGGGAGCAAACAGG
rnacentral:rRNA from 1 species